rnacentral:lncRNA from 1 species
AUUGUGUCACCUUGGGCGAGCGUACCAAAAUAGGAUUCAGAUAUACAAUUACACAAAUACCUAAUUUCAAUUGUUCGUUUGUUCAUUUUAUCUAUCUGAUUGUAAUAAAUUAUCAAUAACAAUUUGUGAAACUAAAAAUAAAGAUUGUUUCAAUGAUACCCAUAUGAUCAAAUAACAUAUAUGGUCAGCUCGUACUGGACCGUACGCG